UGGGGAAUCUUGCGCAAUGGGCGAAAGCCUGACGCAGCGAUGCCGCGUGAGGGAAGAAGGCCUUCGGGUUGUAAACCUCUUUCAGAAGGGACGAAGCUACUCGGGUUAAUAGCCCAGAGGGUGACGGUACCUUCAGAAGAAGCCCCGGCUAACUACGUGCCAGCAGCCGCGGUAAUACGUAGGGGGCAAGCGUUGUCCGGAUUUAUUGGGCGUAAAGAGCGUGUAGGCGGCCAAGUAGGUCAGCUGUGAAAACUCGGGGCUCAACCCCGAGACGUCGGUUGAAACCACUUGGCUAGAGUCCGGAAGAGGAGUGUGGAAUUCCCGGUGUAGCGGUGAAAUGCGCAGAUAUCGGGAAGAACACCCGUGGCGAAGGCGGCACUCUGGGACGGUACUGACGCUGAGACGCGAAAGCGUGGGGAGCGAACA
rnacentral:rRNA from 1 species